AGAACCAAGACCAACAACACCAACAACGCCAACAACGACUACUGUUGCUACGGUCACAGAGGAUCCAAAGACAUCGUGCGGAAAUAGUUACGCCAGUUGCGAGUUUUUCCCACUUGAUGACUGUAAAGACCCAGAUAAAGCGGAGAACAUGUGGACGGACUGUCGGGCAUAUUGCUCACUGUGUCAAGAGCCAAAGCCGACGAAGUGUGAGGAUACAAUGGUAGGGUGCGCUGAUUUUGCCUCAUUCGUCUGUGCUUCUGAAGACAUGAAGGACCAGUGUCAAAAAACUUGCGGAUUGUGCCCCAAAUAAAUGUUCAAAAUAAAAAUAUGUAAUCAAAAUCUAAAAAUUCUAUUUAUUAUAGUAUUUGCUUAGAGUGCAGUUUUAGAUGUUUAUUAAAUAAACCUUUGCAAUCUA